rnacentral:rRNA from 1 species
UUACGGUCAAAUCACGCUGAAACACCGGUUCUCGUUCGAUCACCGAAGUUAAGCAUUGUAGAGCCAGGUCAGUACUUAGAUGGGGGACCGCUUGGGAACACCUGGUACUGUAAG